GAUGACUGACGAGUGACCACUGCCUGACUCAUUCAGGGGGAGGAAUGGGAACAGGAAAGGCCUGAACACUUCUUGGGUUACUCGAUGGCAUGUUCAGCCUCAGUAUUUUGGCUUCCCAAAGCACUUGGGUGAACCUAGGAGAUCUGUAAGGGCUGGUUGAGGAAAGAAGUGUUGGCACUGUGGCUUCAUUUGCUCGUGGUUGCAAGUUCUUUCCAUAGUAUAAGUCUCCCCUGGAGGUAGUGAAUGUUUCCAAUUUUAUCCCCCCUGCUCUAAUUUGGCAACAGCACUGCCUUUCUUGUUAUUUCCCACAGUAAGGCUUCAUUGGCAGGUGUGUCCACGAUUGAUGAGACUGUGCAGAAGCCUGUGGAAGUGUCUACGCCUACGUCCAGUCUGGAAAGCCAACAGUAAUGCAUCUCCUCCCCCAGGAGGCAGGGGUGACCCAGAUGCUGUACACAUAGCACAAGGCUAAUAAAUAUUUUUAGAAUAAAUCAGUAUAUUUGAUGAAUUAAUCAAGGCAGCCAAGAGAAAGUACAACUGAAUGCAUUCCUGGCUGGUGUGUAACACCAUGAGUCAUUGGUGCCAUUCUGAUUACGGUCCUGAGAGUCUGAAAUUUCUGCCAUUG